GAUGAACGCUGGCGGCGUGCUUAACACAUGCAAGUCGAACGGAAAGGCCCAAGCUUGCUUGGGUACUCGAGUGGCGAACGGGUGAGUAACACGUGGGUGAUCUGCCCUGCACUUCGGGAUAAGCCUGGGAAACUGGGUCUAAUACCGGAUAGGACGAUGGUUUGGAUGCCAUUGUGGAAAGUUUUUUCGGUGUGGGAUGAGCUCGCGGCCUAUCAGCUUGUUGGUGGGGUAAUGGCCUACCAAAGCGUCGACGGGUAGCCGGCCUGUGAGGGUGUACGGGCACAUUUGGGGUGAGAUACGGCCCAGAGUCCUACGGGGGGCGGAAGUGGGGAGUAUUGCGCAAUAGGCGCAAGCCUGAUGCAGCGACGCCGCGUGGGGGGUAACGGCCUUCGGGUUGUAAACUCCUUUCGCUAGGGACGAAGCGUUUUUGUGACGGUACCUGGAGAAGAAGCACCGGCUAACUACGUG
rnacentral:rRNA from 1 species